rnacentral:siRNA from 1 species
UGUGCUAACGGAAUUAUCGGGU